rnacentral:lncRNA from 1 species
UUAUAGAGUAGAUUUUCCAUAUUCAAUUUUCUUGGGCAUCACUCUGAAAACCUCAUCUCCACAUCUCACGUGACUCAAAAAAAUCACUGAUAAUACACAUUUAAGUAGCAUUGGGGUCACACGGUUUGGAGACCCCUUUCUUCCUCUCCAAGCACUUAAUUUAAGUAUCAUACACAUCGACAUAGAGAGGGGCUAGAAUAGACAGACAUACACGAACAGAGAGGGGAAAAGGAAAAAUUUGAUGGCAAAAUUCCCUCCAUCUACACAAAGCUCCACCAAACUUUACCAUAUCUGGAUCAUUUCGGUUCUUUUCACAGACUUUUAACAUGGAAACUACUUAAUUCCAUCACCUCUAUUCAACCAGUGUUUGGACCACAAAUUAACAAAAGUUCCUCCCGUGAACUUUCCUUGACUGCAACACCACCCCUUCUCUAUUUUUAAAGCUCCCCCACCACCGUCCUUUAUCAUUUUCUUUGUCAAAAUUAUCAGUGAAUUAGAAAUCAGAAAUGGGUUGAAUAUUAAGGGUAAAUUUCGGGCUAGAUCUCUAGAUUUGAACUCCAACCGAAGCUGCCGUUAGGGUGGGUAUUGUUCGAGUGCUAUGGUCUGCGGUACCGGUCCAGAUUUGAAAUGCAAUCGAGGUGCUAUUGUCAGUUUUGGUUUCUAGUUCAUCUCUGAGUAACAUUGUUGCUAUAUAGAGAGGUUCUUGCUUAAUCAAAAUCUGGAGAAAACUUUGCUACACAAAAGGUCCAAUUCUUUUCCCUUCUUGCAAUUUCGUUCUCCUAAAUUUGUCGUUUAUUGAAUGACUUUAUGAAUUGUUCUCGUGGUUGAUAUUAUAAUUUGUGUUUUAGUGUAUUCUUAGUAGAGUAGUUGCUAUGUUGGAAUUACUGCUUCUUUAAUUUAGAACAUGGAAAAUGAACUGGUUUUGAAUUGUUGGGUUUAGUUGUGAAAAUUGGAAUUAAAACAGACAUUAUCUUGUAACAAGAAUGGGAUUUAGGUGGAUGUGUAUAGGUCAAAAUCUGCUUUCAUUAAGAUUUGACACGAAGCGAUAUCGUAGAAUGCGAUAUGGUCGAGAUCGAUUAGUAGUUAACGAGACUCGUAGGCGAGUAGUCAACAACGGCCGAGGUCGAGUGUUAACGACUAGUUUUUGUCAUAAAAUAUUCAGAAGAAUAUUCUACUGGUGUCUGUACUUUUAGGGUUGACUAGAGAAUGUCUCAUAUAAAUAGAAAAAUAAAUAGGGAGAAAGGGGAUCCUCUAAGAAGAACAUUCUUGUAAAAUUAGACUUUCUCUCUAGAAAAAAAGAAAAUUGUUACCUUUCUAGAGAGAUUCGAUUGUCUACUAUUCCACUCUUUUUCCACUAGAUCGAAGAAGGGUCACGACAUUCUAGUAUUUUAAUUAUCAUACACCAUUGUCAGAAAGAAGAAUCAUCCACCUCAUUCAAUAUUGGGUGAAUCAUUCUCCUUAUUUAUUUUAAUGUCACUUACCGUCAUUUAUUGCAUAGUAUUCCCCUAUCAUUAACGAUCUCAAAGCAUUGAAUAUACAUCACAUUUAGUUCUCUCUAAACACUGCCCUUACGUGAUUGGUGUUAAUUAGUUUAAUCAAAAGUCUAUAUUUUUUGGUCAAACAAUUUGGCGCCGUCUGUGAGGAUUUCCUAGUCAAAUCUUUAGUUUCCUCUAAAUCUAUAACUAACACAACUCACAAAAAACAAAAGGGAGGAGAGAAGCUCCUAUUUCCUCGUACACCCAGAUCUGACAUGGCAGGUAAGGGAGAAGAAAGAAUGAAGGCAGUGGCCGAUCUCACUACCAACCUCUUAAACACCAUCAAUGAGGUCUCCGAAACAGAAGUCGAAGGCAUAACACCUAACACCUUUCCUCGACGAUGUGGAUCACCCCUACCUCACGACAGUAUCACAACAUCCUGAGGUAAAGAAGCUUCCACGUCCAUAUCGGAAGAGGCACUGCCAGCGGUGAAGCAGCUACUCGUAGCUUGGCUGACAAAUACGCUGACCGGCAUCCUCAGCAAGCCUACUCAGGAGGCAGUUAUAGGAAAUGCAAGGACUUGUAUUACACAAGCAACGACCAAGUAGCACGGACCCCCUCCUUCAGUAACAGGUGUCACUCACGAUAUUAAUAAUGCAGGUAACGACACCCUCACAGCUAUUCUGAGGAUAAUGGAAGAAAUGGAAAACGAAAACAAAAUGCUUCAGGAUCAAAUGAGAGAACACCAAGAAAGAGUCGACAAAAUACUGGGUGCCCCAAAACUCUUGCCAAAAAGAGACACUGAUCGGUUCGUCGAGCAACCCUACAGUGAUGAAGCCACCCCGUAUGCCAUACCCAAGACGUUCAAGAUGCCGCCUUAUAUGAAAAUUUAUGACGGUACGACCGACCCCGAAGAUCAUGUAACUCACUAUGUCACUGCGGUAAAGGGCAAUGAUCUCUCCAAAGAACAAGUCUCCUCCAUCUUGUUGAAAAGGUUCAGCGAGACCCUUACCGGAGGAGCAUUGACUUGGUAUUCACAUAUGCCCGCACGCUCCAUUGAAGCAUUCGAAGAGAUGGUCGACAAGUUCGUAACGGCCCAUGCUGGGGCUAAAAAGGCGGAGGCAAGAGUGAACGAUAUAUUUGCCAUCAAACAUUCACCUGGAGAGGAUUGAGGGACUUCCUCGCUCGAUUCAACAGGGUAAAGAUGACCUUACCGAAUGUAUCAGAAGGAAUGACUGUAGCAUCUUUCUAGAACGGGCUGAACAGGAAUUGCUCGAGGGCGACUAGAAAACUAUUAAACUAGCUUAUGAAAUAUCCUCCAACCACUUGGGAUGAAAUACACAACGCUUACUGUGCUGAAGUCCGUGCCGACGAAGACGACCUGAAUGGACCGACUCAUCGAUUGACCUCGGUAUGAGCCAAAAUCAGGUAGGAUCGAAGACAUGAUGCCAAGAGAGAUCUUGCAACUCCACGAUCCAACCGAGAGAUGCAUCAACCAUAUGUCAAAAGCGACAUCAUGCCCCUCUCUUGGCAUGAAGAGGGCCCAUUUAGGCCAAGGACUAGGACUCACCGGAACGAGAGAGGUAUGCCCCAUUUACUAUCUGCUCACAAUUUUUAUGUGUCACCCUCAGAAAUAGUCCAUGCAUUGGAGAAACUCGGACCAAAAGUAAAGUGGCCACAAAAGAUGAGGUUAGAUCCAAGCACUAGAAAAUCAGACAACGUUUGCGAGUUCCACCAAGAGCGAGGUCACAAAAGUGAGGACUGCAUCGCCCUAAGACAGGAGGUCGUGAACAUGCUUCAUCAAGGACACCUCAAAGAACUGUUGAGCGACCGAGGAAGGAUCAACUUUGCCCGAGGACGCGAACACCAGAGACCGCCAAAACUACCCUCACCGACACACACCAUUCAAAUGAUCAUCGGGGGCAGCGACGAUGUUUCGAUCAACAUCUUGAAGUUUGCCACAACCCACAAGCUCAAACAGUCAAUCACUCACGAACGGUAGGACGAACUCGAAGAAAGUAUCAUUUUCCAUAAGUCAGAUACCCACAGUUUGAUCUUCCCUCACUAUGAUGCCCUUGUUAUCACUUUACGAAUAUUAGAUACAAAUGUAAGAUUCAUUAUGGUGGACGAUGGGAGCGGAACGUGCAUUGUCCAUCCUAGAUUACUUGCACAAAUAAAACUCGAGGAUAAGAUAGUACCGCGCUGCAUCACACUAAUGGGUUUUAACAAUGCAGUUGAACGAACAUCUGGGAAAAUCACACUCCCCGUCCUGGCCGGCGGCGUCACUCUAGAAACCACAUUCCACAUCAUGGACCAGGAUACAAUGUAGAUUGUCGUAAUAGGUCGACCUUGGAUACAUGCCAUGAGGGUUAUCCCUUCCAGCUUGUACUAAGUUAUCAAAUUUCUAACCCCAUGGCCAUGGGGAGUAUUCAGCAUACGAGGAGAACAUCACACAUCUCGAGAAUGCUAUCGCAUCACUCAGGAUUGUACGUACACCCAACAAAUAAAGGGUAAAGCAGAGGAUGCAUAGAAAUAAAUUGAGUCGAGGUCGAGCUGUGAUGAAAAGGCGGACGUCAUUAGAGAUCCCGAAGCAAUAGAUGACACAGGAUCAGUCGUCGAAUACCUUGACCCCGUCGAACUUGAUGAAAACGACCACAGCAAGAAAUCCUACGUCGGCUGCAAGCUUCAAGAACCAGGUAAAUUCCUUCAAUUCUUAACUGCUAACGCGGACUUGUUUGCUUUUUCCCAUGCAGACAUUCCAGGUAUCCCGAAGGAGGUCGCCACACAUAAGUUGAACGUCGACCCGUUCUACCCCCGGUAAGGCAGGUUAGACAAAAGUUCAAUUUCGCAAUAAACGAUGCAGUCCGUGAUGAGGUUGUAAAAUUGUUAGAAAACGGCUCCAUCAGGGAACCAAAAUAUCCCCAGUGGGUCGCCAAUGUGGUCAUGGUAAAAAAGAAGAACGGAAAGUGGCGUAUGUACGUAGACUUCACGGAUUUAAACAAAGCAUGUCCCAAAGAUUCAUUCCCGCUACCACACAUCGACCAAAUCAAUGACGUAGCGGUCGAGCAUGAACUGUUGAGCUUCUUAGAUGCCUACUCGGGCUACAAUCAAAUCCUUAUGGAAGAGGAGGACCAGGAGAAGACCACCUUCAUCACCCACCAAAGAACGUACUACUACAGGGUGAUGCCCUUCGGACUGAAAAAUGCAGGGGCGACAUACCAAAGGUUGGUGACCAAAAUGUUUAAAGACCAACUUGACAAGACCAUAGAGGUCUACAUAGACGACAUGUUGGUAAAGUCCAAAAAGAAAGAAGAUCACUCGACCACGUGAAAAGAGGCCUUCGACAUACUCAGGCGAUAUGGGAUGAAACUAAACCUUGAGAAAUGUGCGUUUGGAACUUCAAGAAAGUUCCUGGGCUUCCUUGUAUCAGAAAGAGGCAUUGAGGUAAAUCCUGACCAAAUCAAAGCCAUUGAGGGAAUACCAGAACACUUGACCAGCAAAAAACAAGUUCAGAAGCUGACCGACCGCAUCGCCGCCUUGUCGAGAUUCAUCUCACGAUCAUAUGAUAGAUGCCACAUGUUUUUUGGCGUGCUCAAGAAAGACAACGACCUCCUAUGGACAUCCGAGUACGUUCAAGCCUUGAAGGAGUUAAAAGCCUACCUAUCAUCACCACCGUUACUUGCCAAAGCAGAACCAGGGGAACGUCUGCUCGUCUACCUCGCCGUAUCUGAAGUAGCAGUGAGUGUAGUCCUAGUCCGAGAAAACAAAGGUACGCAAUCCCCUAUCUAUUACAUUAGAAAAACCUUAGUCGACGCCGAGACGAGGUAUCCCUACCUCGAAAAACUAGCACUGGUCUUGGUCAUAGCUUCACGCAAGCUUAGACCCUACUUCCAAUACCAUCCGAUCUCGGUAAUCACGACUUUCCCCUUAAGAAGCAUCUUGCAUAAGCCCGAACUAUCAAGAAGAUUAGCUAAGUGGGCCAUAGAAUUGAGCGAGCAUUACAUCACAUAUCAACCGCGGAUGGUGAUAAAAUCACAAGUCCACGCCGACUUCGUCGCCGACUUCAGCGCAAAAAUAAUGCUCGAAGUUGAAAAAGAAUCCACCCACGCUUCUCCGCGAGCACAAAAUCUAUGGAUUUUGUACACCGAUGACGACUACAAUGCGUUAGGGGCCGGAAUGGGAGUUGUACUUGAAGUCCCUACGGGAGAAGUGGUUCUCCAGUCCAUAAGAUGACCGUACAUGACUAACAAUGAGGUCGAGUAUGAGUCAGUGAUUGCAGGGUUAAGGCUAGCGCUCAAGUACAGGGCGAGACGGGUCAUCCUACGGUGCGAAUCUCAACUCGUCGUCAACCAAGUCAUAGGGACUUUCCAGAUCAAAAAGCAAAGGUUACAAAAAUACCAGGCCGAGAUCCGCAGACUAUUGCCCGAGUUCGACGAGUGCCAGUUCGACCAAAUCCCUCGAGCACAAAAUAUCGAAGCAGACGACCUCGCCAAAUUAGCGGCAAUGACUAAAAGCAUAACCGGAGAAGGAAACGUGGUCACCCUCCUUCACUCAUCGAUAGACCAAAUCGUGGUAAGGACCAUAAAUCUAAUCUGGGAUUGGCACAACCGUAUUGUUACAUACUUCCAGGAUGGUGUACUCCCAGAUGAUAAAAAGGAAGCCAAGAAGCUCCGGAUGCCAGGUACAACAUCAUUCACAACGACCUAUACAAAAGGACGUAUGGUGGCCCCCCAGCGAAAUGCUUAGGCCCAAAUCAGACACGACGCAUACUGGAAGAAAUCCACGAAAGCCACUGCGGGGCUCACUCAGGAAAUCGAGCUCUGAUCAGAUGUCUCAUACGGGAAGGUUACUACUGGCCUACCAUGAAAACGGAGGCCUCAGACUUCGUAAAACAAUGCGAACAAUGCCAAAAAUAUACCCCAAUGAUCCAUCAAAUGAGCGAGCAUCUCCACUCGGUCACCUCUCCUUGGCCUUUCAUCAAGUGGGGAAUGGACAUCGUCGACCCUUUUCCUGCGAGGCGAGGUAACAUACUACUAUUUCUUUUGGUUUUAACUGACUAUUUUUCAAAAUGGGUAGAAGGAGGAGCAUUUUCCCAAAUACGCGAACAUGAAGUGAUCGUCUUCAUAUGAAAAAAUAUUGUGUGCUGCUUCGGCCUCCCCAAAGAGUUCAGUUGCGACAACGGACCCCAAUUCACUGGAAAAAAGGCCGACGAAUUUUUCGAGAAGUGGCAUAUUAUCACGACCCAAAAUUCAACUAGUCGUAAUGGAAUAUAACCCCAACCCGCUGGGUAAGCCAAUUAACAAUAGCCAAUUCCAAUGAAAUUAAUAAAAUAAUUAAAUAGAAGAGAUUAUCUGAAUCUUAUACAUUCUCCAAGGAUUGGUAGUACAAAUCAUGAGCUUCUAAGAAUAGAAUUUACAAAGUUGGUAUGAAAUAAAUACAUCAUCUGUUCGAAAAGUACAUAAACAGAGUUUUAUGAAUCUAAGGCUACCAUGAACAAGAGGCAGCUGCAACCGGAACACAAGUACGUCUUCAAGUCCAACUCCCAUUGAACACAACAUCAUCAUUAGUCAACAUCUGCACGCAAGGUGCAGAAUUGUAGUAUGAGUACAACCGACCCCAUGUACUCAAUAAGUAACAAACCUAACUUAGGUUGAAAGUAGUGACGAGCUAGAACAAGGUCGGGUCCAGCACUAAUAACCAACAACAGUUCGUAACAACAUAAAGCAAGUAAUAAAAUACGUAAUUCAGAGAUGAAUUACUCAGCUUAUUCAUAGUUUCCCGAAAAAUAGUUCCGCCUUUCUAGUAUAUCAGUGAAAAUCCAAGUCAUUUACCGAAGUUGCCAAAAGUAUGACUAAGUGUGAAAACAGUAAUUUUCCCAAAAAUCCUCUCAACAAUAAAUAAUAUGUUUCAUUGUUUUUCCAGAUAGCCAAUAUAAAAUGCAUCCCUAUGCCCAUAUUCCAAUAUGUGUGAGAAGUCAUGAAUGACGUGAUUCCAUACAACAUGAGGAAAAUACAUCUCUAUGCCUGUAUAUCAUGCGUGCAUGUUAAUGCAAUGUAUCUUACAGAUGAACUCAUGUACUCACACUCUCCGAGUACUCAAUCUUACUGGCUCACACUUUCCACUCAUCAUGCUCAAUCACUUAGUACUGUAUAUGGCCAAUCCGGCCCAGGGAAGAUCCAUCCUGGAAAGUAUACACCAACUGAUGAUCAGUAACUCAGUACUGAGUAGGGCCAAUUCAGCCCGUGGGGAAGAUCUAUCCCUAGGUAUAAAUGCUUCGGACAAGAUCCAUGUCCAGGGAAGAUCCAUCCCUCAAUAUAAAUGCUUCGGACAAGAUCCAUGUACAGGGAAGAUCCAUCACUCAACAUAAAUCAACCGCGCUUACUGGGGGUGUGUACAGACUCCGGAGGAGCUCCUUCAACCCAAGCGCUAUCAUAAAUCAGUAUAACCACUACAGCAUGCAGCGCGAUCCCAUAAUGUCACUCAAAAUUAGGCCCUUGGCCUCACUAAGUCAUCAAUCUCUCCAGCCUCUCUUUCGGGGCUCAUAAUGUCAUGAAACUAGCCCGAAAAUGAUAAUAUGAUGUAUCGAUAAAUAGCAACAGAGACUGAGAUAUGAUAUGCAUAUGAAUGUGUAUGACUGAGUAUGUAAUGCAAUGAAAGCAGAUAACUCAACAACAGAAAUGACCUCAGUGGGUCCCAGCAGGAUAAACAUGUAGCCUAGAUAUGGUUUCUAACAUGGAUCACAACUCAAUAACUUAAGAACGUAGAAAUUUCAUGGUUACAGGUAAGAUUAGAUAACUACACAGUACCACAAAAUAAUAGAGUCACAAAUCACAUAGUGCACGCCCACACGCCCGGCACCUAGCAUGUACGCCACCUCAACAUCGACCACAUAACACGUAAUUCGGGGUUUCAUACCCUCAGCACUAAGUUUAGAAGUGUUACUGACCUCGAACAAGCCAAUUCCAAUACCGAGCAAGCCAAGCGAUGCUCCAAAAUGCCAUCUCACGCAUACCGACCUCCGAACGACUCAAAGUUAGCCAAAAGCAACUCAAAUACAUCAAAUAAAGCCCAAGGAAACAAUUACAAAUGAUAAAGAUAGAAUCCUUAAUCAAAACCCAAAACCGGCCAAACGUCACACCCGGGUCCGCGCCUCGAAACCUGACAAAACUCACAAAAUCAGACAACACAUUCAAUUACGAGUCUAACUAUACUAGUUUCAUUCAAAUCCGACUCCGAUUCGGUAUUUAAAAUUCAAAAAUCCAUUUUAUGAAACUUUAGGCUAAAACCCCAAUAUCUCUUUAAAAUUCAUCAACCAAUUGCCAAAAAUGAAGAUAGAUUCGUGGAAUAAGAUCAAACCCAAGUGUAGAAUACUUACCUCAAUCCUUGUGAUGAAAUUUGCUCCAAAAAGUGCCUCAAUCCGAGUCCCACAUCUCAAAAUAUGAAGAAAAAACUAAAACCCUCGAUUUAUAGCUUCUACCAGCAUUUUUGCAUUUAUCGGCGUCGCUUUUGCGACAUAACCUCCACUUCUCCGGAAUCGGCUAAGAACUCGACCCCCGCACCUGCGGACAAAAUAUCCGCUUCUGCGAUAUCGCAGGUGCGAGCCACCAUCCGCACCUGCGAAAUACCUCGCUCCUGUGCUCCAUCACUUCGCACUUGCGCAUCCACAUAUACGCCCAAAUCUCCGCUUCUACGGUCUUCCUAACCCAACACUCACCUCAUCUUUGUGACGCCUUUUUUGAUUCUGCGGCCAUCGCACCUACGCAAAACCAGCUGCAGGUGCGAUCACACAAGAACUAGCAGCCUUCAGUAAUGCACUAUGCAACGAAAGUGAUCCGAACCUCGUCCGAAACUCAUCCGAGCCACUCGGGACCCCAUCCGAAUAUACCAACAAGUCUAAUAACAUAAUACAGACCUACUCGAGGCCUCAAAUCACGCAUAACAACAUCGAAUCGCACCUCAAAUCAAACUUAAUGAACUUUGAACUUUUCAACUUCCAAAACUCGUGCCGAAAUAUAGCAAAUCAAUCCGGAAUGAACCCAAAUUUUGCACACAAGCCCCAAAUGACAUAACGAAGCUAUUCCAACUCCCGAAAUCACAACCUGAACCCGAUAUCCACAAGUCAACUCUUGGUCAAACUUUUGAACUUUUCAAACCUCCAAAUUCCCAAUUUUCGCCAAUUUAUGCCGAAACCUUCUAGAAAUAUCCAAAUGCGAAUUCGAGCAUAUUUUCGAGUCCAAAAUCACUAUUCGGACCUAACGAAACCAUCAAAACUCCGUUCUAGGGUCAAAUUCACAAAAAGUCAAACUUGGUCAACUCUUUAAAACUUAAAGCUUCAACAAUGAAAUUCAUUCUUCCAAAUCGAUUCCGAGUAACCUGAAAACCAAAACCGACCGCAUGAGCUAAAGGAGCCGUAUAUGUGGGUGAGAGGUCGCUUCUGCGAUGCCGCAAAAGCGGAAGUGCUGGCAGAACAGUUAAAUACAAGUGUUCGCGAUUUUGCUUUAUUUUAAACAUUUUGAGCUCGGGUUCUGGCAAUUCUUGAGAGGAUUUUUUUAGGGGAUUCUUGAGGUAAGUCCCUUGUGCUAAUUUUUGUUUAAUAAACUUUCUUCUCCAUUGAUUUCCCACCUAGUUGGUGUGUAUUUAAGGUGUAAAUUUAGAGUUUGAGGGUUAGGGAUUUUGAGAGUUUGAUUUGGGGAUUUGGAUUCUGAUUUGCUGUCGGAUUUUGAUAAAUUUGAUAUGGUUGGACUCGUGAUUGAAUGGGCUUUCGGGUUUCGUGACUUUUAUCGAAUUUCGAGACAUAGGCCGGGGGGCGGCUUUUGAGUCGAUUUUUUACUUUUGCUUAAUACCUUAGCAUUUUCUUAUGGAAUCGAUUCCUUUAGCCCGUAUUGGUUAUAUCAAAUUGUUUAUGGCUAGAUUCGAGGCAUUUAGAGGCCGUUUCCUGAGGCAAGGGCGUGUUGGAGUAAGGAUUUACUAGGAUUGAGGUAAGUAACAAUUCUAAAUUUGGUUCUGAGGGUAUGAAACCCUAGAUUAUGUGUUAUGUGAUUGGUUUUGAGGUGACGCACAUGCUGGGUGACAGGCGUGCACCGUAGGAAUUGUGACUUGGUCAAUUCCAUAUAACCGUGUAGUUGAAUAAUCUAUUAUUUUUCGUAUAUUUGUUUUUCACGUAUUAAAGGAAUUGAACUGCAAAUCAUGUUUAGACCAUGUGUUGACACUGUAGGGACCCACAUAGGUCGUGUACAUGCCGAAUUAUCUGCUAAAUUGUUGUUUUGUAUUUAGUCACAGUUUUACUUGCAUAUUAUGUCUCAGUCUCUAUUGUUCAUUAUUGAUGCAUUAUAGCAUUGAUGUUUGGGCUGAUUAUCAUGAGUUCCGAGAGCCUGAGAGACUGGAGAUAUUGAUGACUGAGUGAGGCCUAGGGCCUGAUUGUGAGGAUAUUUAUGGGAUCGGGCUGCACGUCACAGCAUGCUUUAUUGAUAUAUGCCAUUAUUGGCUUGUUAUAGUUCUUGGGUUGAAGGAGCCCCUCCGGAGUCUGUACACACCCCUGUGAGCGCAGGUACCUACUGAGUGAGAGUGCAGAGUGCCGAGAGCCGAGUGCCGAGUGGUGAGUGACUGAGGGGAUGGAGUGACUGUGAGGAAUGAGUGAUUAUGAGGUUGGAGUGAAUGGGAGGAUUGGGUGACUGCUGCUCGGUGAGGAUACAUUUAACUUCAUUAUUGUUACACUUCUGCUGUCAUAUACACUGUCUUGAAAUUUCUUAGAGAUAUUCUCUUCCGUUUCAAAUAAACUUGACAUGAAAUAACUGUUUUGGACUUAUUUGCGGAACUUGAAAUCAUGCUUACCUUCCUAUGUGGAAAUUACUGUAAUUGAACUUAACUAUGAAGCUCAUCACUACUUCAGUUCUUUAUUUAGUAUUGUUACUUACUGAGUUGGUUGUACUCACGCUACACCCUACACUUCGUGUAUAGAUCCAGAUGUUUCCGGACACAGUGGGUGUUGAUUUCAUCGACAGUUGAUCUUUUGGGAGAUUCCAAGGUAGUUGUCCGGCUUCGCAGGCCAUGUCUCUCCUUCCCUAUCUUCCUGCUUAUUGUAUUUAGUUUCAGACUAUCAUAGACAGUAUUUUGUUUUCCAGACUUGUGAUGUAUAGAUGCUCAUGUACACUGUGACACCCCGAUAGUUGGGAACUUUCGCGUUGUGUUUUGGGUUUCUAUCCCUUUUUUUUGAGAAAUUUUAUUAUUUAAACUACUUUAAUUCAUUUUCUAUUAAAGGUCUUGGAAUUAUU